rnacentral:rRNA from 1 species
CCUACGGGCGGCAGCAGUGGGGAAUAUUGGACAAUGGGCGGAACCCUGAUCCAGCGACGCCGCGUGAGUGAAGAAGUAUUUCGGUAUGUAAAGCUCUAUCAGCAGGGAAGAAAGAAAUGACGGUACCUGACUAAGAAGCCCCGGCUAACUACGUGCCAGCAGCCGCGGGAAUACGUAGGGGGCAAGCGUUAUCCGGAUUUACUGGGUGUAAAGGGAGCGUAGACGGCGAGGCAAGUCUGAAGUGAAAGGCGGGGGCCCAACCCCUGGACUGCUUUGGAAACUGUAUGGCUGGAGUGCCGGAGAGGUAAGUGGAAUUCGUAGUGUAGCGGUGAAAUGCGUAGAUAUUAGGAAGAACACCAGUGGCGAAGGCAGCUUACUGGACUGUAACUGACGUUGAGGCUCGAAAGCGUGGGGAGCGAACAGGAUUAGAUACCCGUGUAGUC